ACCAUGCCCCAUGUGCAAUAGUCGACAGGGUUGCAGUCUGGGCUGGACAGAGGCCACAAGUCAGGUGGUAGGCUCAUAUCAUAUUCUGAGUCUCAGCCAGAAAGCCAAUCACCCUGCUCCACCUGAAAAGGUAUUACAGGGAUCAUGCGACUGUGUUGAGAAUGAUCUCGGCCUAAUCAUUGCCUGCUACUCGGGUGUGGCUUCGCCUGCCACCUCUCGAUCCACAAAGCAAAUGAAAUACGAAUAUGGUGGGCUUUGCUCAGGUUUGCCAGGUCUAGGGACAUGAUCACUGCAUCCACAUCCUGU
rnacentral:lncRNA from 1 species